AGCCGAGACUAUGACUACACAGUUACCUAGUUCAGAAGACUAUUUAUGGAAAUUCAAAUUGAAGCCUCUUGGCUAGUAGAUGACA